rnacentral:rRNA from 1 species
AGUGAACACUGGCGGUAGGCCUAACACAUGCAAGUCGAACGGCAGCACAGUAAGAGCUUGCUCUUACGGGUGGCGAGUGGCGGACGGGUGAGGAAUACAUCGGAAUCUACUUUUUCGUGGGGGAUAACGUAGGGAAACUUACGCUAAUACCGCAUACGACCUACGGGUGAAAGCAGGGGAUCUUCGGACCUUGCGCGAUUGAAUGAGCCGAUGUGGGAGUAGCUAGUUGGCGGGGUAAAGGCCCACCAAGGCGACGAUACGUAGCUGGGCUGACAGGAGGAGAAGCGACACGGGAACGGAGACACGGACCAGAUGCCUAGGGGAGGCAGAAGGGGGGAAUAUUGGACAAUGGGAGAAAGACUGAGCCAGCAAGGCCGCGGGAGUGAUGAAGGCGGUAGGGUUGUAAAGCUCUUUUACCCGGGAUGAUAAUGACAGUACCGGGAGAAUAAGCGACGGCUAACUCCGUG